CGUUUCGUACGCGUCGAGAGCCUUAGACAGGAAAUCAUCAGUAUCGACAGAAUCCAUGGGCAAGAAUUCGUCCAUAGGGAGAGCUGCCAUAAAAGCAUCUCCUUCCGGGUCAAAGGCAGAAUCACCGUCCGCAGCCUGUUGAGCACUAAUCGUUGUAGCAAUGGUGGCGUCCUGUCUAACUGUCGCUGUUGGUGGAGGACAAGGAGGCGCUGCCUUUUCCAUUUCGGCCAGAAAACCCUCUUUUCCUUUCCUGAAAGUCAAAUCUCAAGUACUUACAAAAUAUUCACUGAGAGCAAAGAUUUCCGUUGAAUUUGCUUUCAUUAUCCUUAAUUUCCGGGUGAACACUCACAAAACGGAGGCCAGCACGUAUUUUUGCGCAUGUUUUGCGCAGAGUUCCGGGACACUACCGCCAAUGAGUUGGAUAUUCGCACUCUUCAACAGCAUCAUGCCUCUUCGGCAUGUUAUCGGCGGCAGCAGCCGAACCUGAGUGCGAGCGGAGUAACGAAUUACUUUAGUGCCAGGCGGAGUGUAUGUGCUCAGCUGGCUAAUGGGAUUAUACUCCAUGCCGCGAAUAGUUGUCACACCAUCGGUAAACUCAACUAACAACACACGCUUUCCACUGCUUUCCUCUUUCUGCAAUAAAUCACAUGGUUUGGGCGAUUUAAAGAUAAUUCUAAAAUAAAUGCUGAAAUGUAUUGCUAAAAUAAAUGCUACUUCCAGAGCAAAAAAUUUUGCAUAUCUCAAAUUAAUGUACGUUCUUCACUUUCCCGUUGGCAAAUUUAACGAUAAGUUUUUUGUAAUUACUUACUGUUUUGUUUUUGUUGGAUACUGAAGCAGUUGUUACGGUUGUAUUGUCGUGAGCAGCUGCUUCCUGUUCUUCGGAGACAAGAACAUUUUCAC